GGGGGUAUAGCUCAGUGGUAGAGCAAUUGCCUAGCACACAUGAGGUCCUGAGUUCAAUCUCCAGUACCACCC
rnacentral:tRNA from 1 species